ensembl:lncRNA
UUUUUUUUUUUUUGCCUUUGCAAGAACGUCUUUUAAAUGAAAUUCUACAAUAUAUAAAAUCAGACUCUUCACACAGAGCAACACACUUGAGAUUUACUCAUGCCAUCACAUGUAAUAAUAAUAGUACAUUUCUUUUUGUUGCUUAGAAGUAUGCCACUAUAUGGAUGCACAACAGCUUGUUUAUUCAUUCCUCAACUGCCUACUUGCCAUCCAUAAGUCUUCUUUGGUAAAGUGUUCAAAAAUUUCAUUCAUUUAUUAUUGAGUGGGCUUCUUUCUUAUUGAGUUUUGAGUGUUUUUAUAUAUUCUAGAUACAUGUUCUUUCUCAUAUGUGUGAUCUGCAAAUAUUUUCUUCCAGUCUCUAGCUUAUUUUCCAGUGUCUUGAGAACAGAAGAUUUCAUUUCAAUAAAGUCCAAUUCAUCAACUUUGCCCUUAAAUAACUGGCACCAAUAAAUUCUCCAUUCUUUGUUGUGGGACUGUGUGUGUCCUAUGGCACACGUGCAAUGCUCAGACAGGUAGUCUACACUUCUGUUUCAGUCUUCACUUUCUGCUUGCCUAGAGCCUCAAGGUCAAUGAGAAGUGAGAGUUUAGGAUAUGCUUACUUCUUUCCUGGGAAUAUAAACAGCCUUGGACAUGGGCACAGUCCUUGACACCUGUGUGGCCUUCUUGAUUCCCUGAAAUAUAUUAGAGCUUUCCAAAGCUCUCCAUGGACAUCUCAAUCUCAGUAUUUUCCUUUUACAUCUUUUAGGAAGUUUUUGUUAACCCUAAUUGUUAUCACUGCCACGGGAAGUUGCAAUAUUAAGGAGACUGCUACUUUUGUUGUUGUUGUUGACAAAUACACUCAGACAGAAGAUGUUUGUAGUGACUAAGCUCUGAAUUAGGUCAAAUAAAGACAAGCCUUAGGAUGAAGAUUUCCAGGUAAAUGCCAGACAGAUUAAGUAACGACAAUUCUCUGAAAAUGAUGCUUUUAGGGAGCUCUAACUUGUUAUAUUACCUCCGGUGGCUGCUAGGCUGCUGUUUUUCACCAUAAUUGAAAAGCCAAUGGUUUGUCAAGGUUAUUUCAGAGCUGGAAUGAGGGAAUGGAAAUAAAAUUUUCUUACCAAGAUUCAACAGUUUUUCUUGAACUAAGUUGUCUCUGAUUUUUAGAAGCUUUCAGUUACACAUGGAGUUUUUAAAAAGUUGAUUUGAGCAUUUUUUCCCCACGGUUCUCAUUGUUUUUAUAAAGCAGCAACAUUUUAGAACAGAAUCCACUGUUCCUGCUGAUGACCCAUACAUGGCCUCUAGUUUCAAGUCUCUGAAAAAUGCUUCUGCAUUUAGGCUUUUUCUAACUUUACUGAUGUGAACCCAGUCUCAGGUCCAGUCUCCAGGAGGACAUCUCUCAGCCUUAAUAUGCAGUUAUAUAACACUUGUAACAAGUGGAUUUUCAUGUUGAAAAAUCCCAUAUGUUUAACAAGAAGCCUCUGAGGUCUUCCAAUCCCAGCCAUGCAGUGUCCUGCCAUCUUUAACUUUGAUUGAUAGAAUUUUUCUAGGUAAGUGAUCCACAGCUCAAAACCCUUGGGUUGGGGCAAGCCUGGAUAUUUCAAAACAAAAAUAUGUCUAUACACUAGCACACUGCACUCCUCCUUGUAAUGUGACUAAUGGAAUUUAUAAAAUUCUGUUCACAAGUAAGGAAAAAUAUACAAAUAGUUAUUCAACAAUAUUUAAAUAAAUAUGAGGAAGGAAAAAUACCCUGUGAUCUGAAUCCUUUGUGAAAGCUAUUUUUAUUAUCUAUUGCUGUAUAACAAAACACUCAAGUUAGUGUAAGAUAGAACUUUACUAUUAUCUCGACUCAGUCUGUGUGUUAACUGAAUUUAACUCAGUAGAUCUUGUUUGGGUCUGAAGUGUAAACGUCAGGUUUUUACUGGAGCUAAAGUCCUCUGAAGGACUGGCUGGGCUGCACAUCUAUGAUGGCUCAAUCACAUGGCUGUCAGUUGACUCUGGCCAUAGCUGUGGCCUCCCAUAACCUAUUUAUAUGGCCUUAUCUUCUCACAGGAUGGAUGGAAUCUUGGUUCCAAGAAGAAGCAUCAAAAGAGACCCAGCCAGGAGUUCCCUUCGUGGCGUAGCAGAAACAAAUUCAACUAAGAACCCAUGACGAGAACUCCACUAAAUCAUUCAAGGGUGGCCUUUUAAACAAGGAUGUCUGAGUUUCUGGAUUGAGCAAUAGGAAAAAUGGUACUAUCAUCUACUGAAAUGCAGAACCCUGGAUGCGCAUCAGGAUUUGGAGAGGUUGACAUUAGUGGGAGUUCACAAGUUCAGUUCUGUCUAACUGUCCAAGCAGGAUAAGACUAUAUAACGUGAAGACAGAAAAUGGAGAAGUUGAUGUACUUUAAUUAUAUCUGUUGACCUACUCUGGUUUUAGAGUAUACACACUGUGAAGAUAGUUUUUUUCUUUUUUUUAGGUAGAAGGAUCUUGCAGUUUUUCAAGUAUAACAUUUGUAAGCACUGCAUUUUAGAAAAUGUAAUACAACCUCUACACAAAAGGAAAGUGUUGAAAACCAGUAAGUAUGAAACUUAGUGGUUCUUAAACUGUCCAGUCAAGACAAGACAAUAAAUUAUUUCAGAAAUGUAUUUACAAAUGAAUGAUUUGUUUAGCCAGUGACUACCUCCAUGCUGAUAUUUACUUGUUUAUAACUUUUUUUUUCUUUUUUGUCUCCCCUUUCAGCAUAUGGAGUUCUGGGCCAGGGAUAGAUCCAAGCCACAGCUGUGACCUAUGAUGUAGCUGUGGCAAUGCUGGAUCCUUAACCCAUGGUGCCAGGGCAGGGAUCAAACCUACCUACUAGCGCUUUGGAGAUGAUGCCUGUCCCAUUGUGCCACAGAAGGUACUCCCAUGCUGAUUUAAAUCUGACUCUCACUGGUAUGCUUUUCCAGCUUAUUUUCAGUUUUUCUCCCACACAAUUUAUUAUCUAUAGACCACAGGCAAAUUUUAUAAAUUCUCAGAGCUUUAUCCCCACAUCUAUAAAAAGGAAAAAAAUAACUAACUUGCUCAGUUGUUUGAAGAUUUAAUGAUAAUUAUAAUAAUAAUACAAUGAAAUUAUAAAACUUAAAUCCCUAAACACGUAAAUUCAAAAAUUUUUGAAAACUAAAUGAUUAGAAAGAUGUGACUGGCAUCAGAAUCAGGCAUGAAAAAAAAGUUUGAGGAAAAUAUGUAGAUUACUAGGAAGGAAGCCAGAAGUUCUUUAAUCAUAGGUUGUAGGUUAUCAAGAUUGAAGAUAGAAAAAAAAAUGAGAAAAACCCAAGUAUCUUCUGCAAUAAAAAAUAUAAGCAAUUUUUUACCCCAAAAUGAUAACCUAAAACAAAUUUUAAAUGUAAUAUUAAUCAAACAGGAAAUAUUUAGUUUUAUAAGAGAAAACAUUUUUUAUGGAAAAUUCCAACUAGGAUGGAUGUUAGCAAUUCUUAGGCACACUAGCAUCUGAUUGCUUAAUUUAUAAUCUUGCAGAGCUGUCAGUGAGAUUACAUAAAUCUUACUGUUACAUCUCUGAAAAGAUGCCUUGAACAAGUGUCAUCAGUUAUUACUUUAUCUGCCACCAAAUAUUUUUUUAGAUAAGCAAUUUCCAGGCAUGCUUCUCUUUACUGAAAAAAAAUAAAGGAUACUUUACAUGAUUUGUUGAAUUUGUAUCGUGGGAUAGCUACAAGUUUAUCUGGUACAACAUUGCUAUAAGGUAAAGCAACAUUUGGGGUUUUUACUAAUUUCUUAUAAAUCACUGGUUAAAUAUCAUAAAAAUUUUAAAUCUGAAAAAGGUUUCAAAAAGUGAAAAUCAUUUUUGAAGGGCAUUUAAGUAUUGAGAUUCUUUAUUAUUUAUUUAUUUAGGGGAUGUUUCCUUAAGGUUGGAAGGCAUAGGUAUUAUGAAGUAUUUGCUUAAGCAAUUGGUAUUAUUUUUCUAUAAUUUUUAAAGCUUUUUUCCCCCGAGAGCCUAAGUUAGAAGAAUGUCAAAAAGAUUAUGCUGUAAUCUCAUCACUGAAAUAUUUUUACUUUUUGAUUUUUAUUUCAUUAGCCUAUCAGCAAUGAGAAUGCCAGUCUUAACUGAUAUUUUAAGUUAUACAGCAAAAUGGGGCAUCUGCUUGGUAGCCAGCAUAAAGAUGGUUAAAAUCAAAAGCUUAAGACCCAUCUGUGACAAACCAAGUAUUCUUUCUACAUCAAAUAUAACUGUGCCUUUUGUAUAGGCAGUUUGUGGGAAGACAAUCAUAAUUUUGUUUUAGCAAUUAUCCAUAAUAAUU